rnacentral:rRNA from 1 species
UACGUAGGGUGCGAGCGUUGUCCGGAAUUAUUGGGCGUAAAGAGCUCGUAGGCGGUCUGUCGCGUCGGUCGUGAAAACUUGGGGCUUAACCCUGAGCUUGCGGUCGAUACGGGCAUGACUGGAGUUCGGUAGGGGAGACUGGAAUUCCUGGUGUAGCGGUGAAAUGCGCAGAUAUCAGGAGGAACACCGGUGGCGAAGGCGGCCCCCUGGGCCGCGCCUGACGCUGAGACGCGAAAGCGCGGGGAGCGAACGGG